rnacentral:rRNA from 1 species
AUUGAACGCUGGCGGCAUGCCUUACACAUGCAAGUCGAACGGCAGCGGACCUUCGGGUGCCGGCGAGUGGCGAACGGGUGAGUAAUGUAUCGGAACGUACCUUUCAGUGGGGGAUAACGUAGCGAAAGUUACGCUAAUACCGCAUAUUCUGUGAGCAGGAAAGCAGGGGAUCGCAAGACCUUGCGCUGAUUGAGCGGCCGAUAUCAGAUUAGCUAGUUGGUGAGGUAAAGGCUCACCAAGGCGACGAUCUGUAGCGGGUCUGAGAGGAUGAUCCGCCACACUGGAACUGAGACACGGUCCAGACUCCUACGGGAGGCAGCAGUGGGGAAUUUUGGACAAUGGGGGCAACCCUGAUCCAGCCAUGCCGCGUGAGUGAAGAAGGCCUUCGGGUUGUAAAGCUCUUUCGUCCGGGAAGAAAUCGCGUCAGCUAAUACCUGGUGUGGAUGACGGUACCGGAAUAAGAAGCACCGGCUAACUACGUGCCAGCAGCCGCAGUAACAC